AACAUACUCCCUCCGUCCUAAAAUUGUUGUCUUAGAUUUGUUUAAAAACGGAUGUAUCAUGUCACGUUUUAGUAAUGUAUCUAGGCAAAUUUAAAACAAGAAUUUUGAGACGGGGGAAGUAUAUU
rnacentral:pre_miRNA from 1 species